rnacentral:antisense_RNA from 1 species
GGGAGCUUAGAUGUGGAAGCUCUUUGGAAACCAAGAAACACUCUGCAAAUGAAAAGGGUGGAAGAGUAAACUGUUCCUGUUUCUCCAUCUUGACAGGAAGCAGAAGUUCUCCUUAGCUGAUUUUUCUUCUUGCCUUAUACUGGGUUCUUUAACACCAGAACAAAAAUAAAUAAAUAAAAGAAUCUUCCAGAAAUUCAUGAAGAGACUUCAGGUCAGGAAAGCCUGAACUUUCUCAUCCAACACCUGUUCAAGUCGGAGGAUGCUGAUUAAUUCAUGAUGGAAAGGUAUCAAUUUCACAGCCCAGACCUCUACAUUCUUGAAAUGCUCUUCUCAUGGGAGACAUUAAAUAAGCUUUGAAUUAACUGAGACCUCUGUGGAUUCUAUAACUCAAAGACCCAGGCUGACGGCUGGUGGAAUAGCUACCAUCUCAAACAUGGCGUGAUGCUGCAUCAGAGAGAAAAAUAAGCUCUUGCAUUGACAAUGAAAUGUCUACCCUGUAGUGACUUGUGCUUACUUCCACUCACAAGUGAUUGCCCAGAGCUACUUACCUGGCUCCAAUCUACCACUGGGUGUGUACUUGCAAUCUACCAUGUACCUAGAAGAUGAGAGAAACAAAUUAUUAAUGAUGACCACACCCCAAGACUAACAACAAGUUGCAGAAGAAUCAAUGACUUAAACAAAAAUGUGGCCAUUGAAGGAAUAGAAAAUAUAGACCUUGUAUUGAAGACAGCGUAACCCCCAAGAGGAAAGGAGCUUGGAGCCCUGAAUCAGAGUAGAAGACAGGCUGAAUGAAUACCAGCCUUGGACUGUUAUGUGAAUGAAAAACAAGUUUUGAGAUUUGUGUGGUUUAUUUAUUAUAGUUACUGUUAUUAUUAAAGUUUUUCACUGCUUUACUCUCA